rnacentral:piRNA from 1 species
UUCCCUAGUGAUGCGAUAUGGUCCAUAA